GGAAACACCCACUACUUUGUGGCUUAAACAAAUACUCAUUUUGCUUACAAAUCUGCAAUUUGGUCAGGACUCAACAGAGACAGCUUGUCUGUGUUCCCCUUUGCCUCAGCUGAAAGGAGCUGCAGUCACCCAUGUGUGAAGAAGGCUCUUUCAUUCACUUGUCUGGAGCCUGGGCCGAUUCAAACAUCUGGAGACUGGAACAUCUGGGGCUCCUUGGACGACUACCUCUUUGUGGUUUCUCCAUGUAGUCUCUCUAGCGGAUGGCUGUAUUCUAUUUGGGAUUGAACUCAGGACCUUGUACUUUCGAGGUAGGCGCCGGAACCACUGAGCUAAAUCCCCAGCCCUUGCUGAACACUUCUGAUGGUGAACCGAACUGUUUGCAAACAGAAGCAUUCAUGAACCGAGAUAUCACUGUACAGUACUAAUAAUACAGAAUAAUGAGAUUUGUUUUGGUGUGCUGGUACAUGCAUAUAACACAUUUUGAUUGUUUUCAUCCCUGUUAUCCUCCUUUUGCUUCCCUCCUUCUGACCUACUUCACCAUCUCUAAAAGUCUACCUUCUAGUUUCCUGUUAUGUGAGCUGUUUUGAGGCACCACAUCUCUUCAGUUAUUUCCUGUGCCUAUUUCUUGUGCAGAGAGGCUUUCAGCCACCAAAGUGAUCUCAGGAUGUGGAGUCGUCUAAAGCCAGCAGUUGUUUUGCACAAGGGACC
rnacentral:lncRNA from 1 species